UACGUAGGUGGCAAGCGUUGUCCGGAAUUACUGGGUGUAAAGCGCGUGUAGGCGGCAGACCAAGUCGGCGGUGAAAGCGCCCGGCUCAACUGGGCGAGGUCCGUGGAAACUGGUCAGCUGGAGGACGGUAGAGGCGAGUGGAAUUCCCGGUGUAGUGGUGAAAUGCGCAGAUAUCAGGAGGAACACCAAUGGCGAAGGCAGCUCGCUGGGACGGUACUGACGCUGAGACGCGAAAGCGUGGGGAGCAAACAGG
rnacentral:rRNA from 1 species